UCCUACGGGGGGCAGCAGUAGGGAAUUUUCGUCAAUGGGCGCAAGCCUGAACGAGCAAUGCCGCGUGAACGAGGAAGGUCUUCGGAUCGUAAAGUUCUGUUGAAGGGGAAAAAGAGCGGAGAGAGGAAAUGGUCUCCGAUUGAUAUUACCCUUCGAGGAAGCCACGGCUAACUACGUGCCAGCAGCCGCGGUAAUACGUAGGUGGCGAGCGUUAUCCGGAAUGAUUGGGCGUAAAGGGUGCGUAGGCGGCCUGCUAAGUCUGGAGUGAAAGGUACCGGCUCAACCGGUACAGGCUCUGGAAACUG
rnacentral:rRNA from 1 species